rnacentral:rRNA from 1 species
UAGGGAAUCUUCGGCAAUGGACGAAAGUCUGACCGAGCAACGCCGCGUGAGUGAAGAAGGUUUUCGGAUCGUAAAACUCUGUUGUUAGAGAAGAACAAGGACGUUAGUAACUGAACGUCCCCUGACGGUAUCUAACCAGAAAGCCACGGCUAACUACGUGCCAGCAGCCGCGGUAAUACGUAGGUGGCAAGCGUUGUCCGGAUUUAUUGGGCGUAAAGCGAGCGCAGGCGGUUUCUUAAGUCUGAUGUGAAAGCCCCCGGCUCAACCGGGGAGGGUCAUUGGAAACUGGGGGACUUGAGUGGAGAAGAGGAGAGUGGAAGUCCAUGUGUAGCGGUGAAAUGCGUAGAUAUAGGGAGGAACACCAGUGGCGAAGGCGGCUCUCUGGUCUGUAACUGACGCUGAGGAUCGAAAGCGUGGGGAGCAAACAGG